CACGUAGGGUGCGAGCGUUGUCCGGAAUUAUUGGGCGUAAAGAGCUCGUAGGCGGUGUGUCGCGUCGGCCGUGAAAACCUGCAGCUUAACUGUGGGCGUGCGGUCGAUACGGGCAUCACUGGAGUUCGGCAGGGGAGACUGGAAUUCCUGGUGUAGCGGUGAAAUGCGCAGAUAUCAGGAGGAACACCGGUGGCGAAGGCGGGUCUCUGGGCAGUAACUGACGCUGAGGAGCGAAAGCGUGGGGAGCAAACAGG
rnacentral:rRNA from 1 species